rnacentral:rRNA from 1 species
AGCCUGCCCAGUGACAAAAUUUAACGGCCGCGGUACCCUGACCGUGCGAAGGUAGCAUAAUCACUUGUUCUUUAAAUAGGGACUAGUAUCAACGGCAUCACGAGGGNUUUACUGUCUCCUUUCUCCAAUCAGUGAAACUGAUCUUCCCGUGAAGAAGCGGGAAUGAACCUAUAAGACGAGAAGACCCCAUGGAGCUUUAAAUUUCACAGCAACUCAGUAACAUAUUUCCUUAUAACUCAAAGAGUUAUGCAUGCCAAUUUUAGGUUGGGGUGACCGCGGAGUAUAAAAUAACCUCCACAUCGAAAAGAACUAAAUCUNUAUUUAAGAGCCACAGSUCUAAAAAUUAGUACACUAACGAACAAUGACCCGAUAAUCGAUCAACGGACCAAGUUACCCUGGGGAUAACAGCGCAAUCUACUUCAAGAGCCCAUAUCGACAAGUAGGCUUACGACCUCGAUGUUGGAUCAGGGUAUCCCAGUGGUGCAGCCGCUACUAAUGGUUCGUUU